AGCCUGAAAGUCAGCUUUAUCCUCUGCCAAAAAAAAAAAUCCCCUCCCAAUUUGUAUGUCUAGAUCAUAAAAUAAUGAGGAUACUCCGAAGCAAUUACUUUUAAGGAAGAUUGCAUGCCAAAGCACACAUUGGCAAUGCCAAAUACUCAUCUUCUGUUAGAAAGAAGCAUUUCAUCUGAGGAGGAGUAGAUAGGAGUCAUCUAGCUAUGGAGAGCCUUUUCUGCCCAAACCUUUCCAUGCUGUCUCCAUGCAGAUGAAAGGAGAGGAGAACUACAGAAAGAGCAGGACUUCAGACGUGUUUUGUUGCAACAUUUACAGCAUGUGACAUACCAGCCUGCUAAGAUGUAUUUAGGCAGUGAUGCAUAGGAACUGUGCCAGGUACAGUCAGGAGUCCACUGUGUGGAGACCUGGGAAAUGCUGACUGGGAGAGCCAUGCUCUUUAGAGUUGCAGUCUAAUUUAAGAUGUGAUUGAAGAGGUAGGAGAUGGUCCUAAGAGGACAACUGAGGGCAGGAGGCUUCCGGUACUGGGGAAACAAAGCCAAGGAAACCAGCUCUGUGCAAAAGUCUCAUGUUUUUAUUCAUUUAUUUAUCUGUGUUCUUAUGACAUUAAUUAUUAU